GUAACUAGGUCAGUUCCCGGGCUACGCCCGGGUUAUUUUCUAUGAAAAUGUUAAAGUAGAAUAUCAUAUUAGAUUAAGGUGUUGAUUGUUACGCUAAAAAAUGUGUUGGUAGUCAAUGUUUUUGUUUGAGAAGGAAGCUUUGUAUGUUCGAAUAUGUCUGAAAAAUUGGUGUAUAUCGAGUUCACUCAAUUGGUUAAAAGCAAAAAAAGUAGUAAGUAAAAUAAAUAGUGUAAGAAACGGAUUAAGUCUUUCGCAGAUCAGAAGUUUUGUUGAGGGUCAUGAGAAAGAAAGGACCUGAAAUUGGAUAAGAAGAAGUUAUUUUAAAAGAUCGGAAUCUCAUCUUCAAUAAAUUCACAUAAUAAAAAGUACUUGAAUAAACUAUUUAAAUUAUAAAACCCUCUUUGCAAAAAGGCGUGUAAUAGUUGAAAACUGAUAAUUGAAAUUAUAUGUUUUAAGUUUUAUAUAGCUUUCAAAUUAUAUGUUAUAAAAAAUCGAUAUUGUUUUCAAAUUUAAAAUAAAAUUUGCUUCAAUUGGUGAAACAUAAUGAAACACAUUGAAAAUAAUUCGAAAAUAUUCAUGAAGUAGCAAUUUACAAAAGUUUGAUUAUAUUUUUAAGUCAGUGCAUAUAUAUUUUCAUAUCCAAGUAACUGUUUAAAUUCACAAACUCUACAUAAUUUUAUCUCCCAAUAACCCUCAUCUUUAUAGUAGACUUCUUAUUCAGUCUAAUCAUUCUUUUUUGCAAACGGAGAAUUUACAAAAAUAAUAUAUAUAUGAAUUAUUGAAUAAACUGCAAAGAAAACAAUAUUCAAACAAAUAACCCUAGCGAUAUCUAUAGCUAUAACGCCAGCACUACACCCCAUUCCACCAUGAUUCAACCUCUUUAUAUUAUCCCUAAGUUUAUCCUUGGAUUAAAUUAUAAGUGAAAAAUAAAUUAACAAAUGCCAUAUAUAUAUAUAGAGUCUAUUUUCGAUGAGGGUCAAAACAACUCAUAGAUAAUAAAAUUGUAUAAGAGUCACUAAUCUCUAUAUAUCUAACGGCCAAUAUGACAUAAACAUUAUGUGAUGGAGAUUUGAAAAAUAUUUCUAUAGGAUAAUACAUAAGUUUUGGACUAAAAAAAAAGUAAAAAAUUUGGUACCUGCAGUUUGCGAAGGGGGUGGAGGAGCUGGGUUAUCCAUUCUUCAUAUCUCUCGAUCCUUAGAAUGAAACGGAUAAUUCGUUACAGUGAUAGAAUAAGAUAUGUAUUUAUUUGACUGGCAUUAUUUGGUAGUUGAGUUGUAACCGCUAUCUACAAAGUGUGGACAAACCGCAUUUAGUUUUGUGUUAAAACCAGGUGGAUAUUAGAGUUAACUCUAGACGUAUAGAUCAGAAAGAGACACGAGUGCGAUGGGAGGAGGAGACGGCGGUGACGACUCCGUAGUCCACUUUGUAUUUGUUCAUGGCGCCAGCCACGGUGCUUGGUGUUGGUAUAAGCUCACCACUCUUCUUGCCGCCGCCGGAUUCAAAGCCACCUCUGUCGACCUCACCGGAGCUGGCAUCAACCUCACCGACUCUAACACCGUCGUCGACUUCGAUCAGACGUAACGUUGGCAUGUAAGCUGUUGCGACCAGCUCCACUUAGGGCUUUGAGCGGUGCUGAUAAGCUGGCCCCAAACCCUGAAGCGGAGAAAGUUCCUCGAGUUUACAUCAAGACGGCUAAGGAUAACCUAUUUGAUCCUCUGCGCCAAGACCGUGUGGUGGAGAAGUGGCCACCAUCUCAGUUGUAUAUCUUGGAGGAGAGUGACCAUUCUGCUUUCUUCUCUGUCCCAACUACCUUAUUCGCUUAUCUUGUCCGUGCUGUAUCUUUUCUUCAACUAUAACCCAAAACUUCAUUCCUGGUUUGACCAUAUAUCUCAUCCUCGGUACAUUAUAUCAAACAUUAUUAUUGUUGAAAGUGACCCUAUAAGAUUAUUUGAAGCAAACGGAGGUAGAUCCGACCUCGAUAAACUUAUUUCCU